AAAAUGACUGAGAUAGGACUAGUACUGAUUUUUAUUAGUUAAAAGCGAGCUGGAAUGGUGAGAGCCAGUAACUAAGAAAUUAGGAAGAUCAACCUGGAGUUGGUUUGCGAAUAGUUUAGCAUUCCCGUAUUUCUGCGUUAAAGAUUGCUAAGAUAAAAUUGCUUUUUAUUAAAGUAGUUUUAAUUAGGGUGGUACCGCGGUCUCUCGUCCCUUAC
rnacentral:ncRNA from 1 species